ACUGCUGUAUUCCAGAGGGUGUCAUUCAUAUAGGAUACAAUGCAAUGGUGUCCCCUGGGGUUGUGCAACAUGACAGCCUGGA
rnacentral:miRNA from 1 species